rnacentral:tRNA from 1 species
AAUUAAUAAGCUUUUAGAAGCAUGUAUUUUGAAAAUACAAGAAAAGAAUUUAACUUCUUAUUGAUUU